rnacentral:rRNA from 1 species
GAUGAACGCUGGCGGCGUGCCUAAUACAUGCAAGUCGAGCGAACAGAUGAGGAGCUUGCUCCUCUGUCGUUAGCGGCGGACGGGUGAGUAACACGUGGAUAACCUACCUAUAAGACUGGGAUAACUUCGGGAAACCGGAGCUAAUACCGGAUAAUAUAUUGAACCGCAUGGUUCAAUAGUGAAUGACGGUUUUGCUGUCACUUAUAGAUGGAUCCGCGCCGCAUUAGCUAGUUGGUAAGGUAACGGCUUACCAAGGCAACGAUGCGUAGCCGACCUGAGAGGGUGAUCGGCCACACUGGAACUGAGACACGGUCCAGACUCCUACGGGAGGCAGCAGUAGGGAAUCUUCCGCAAUGGGCGAAAGCCUGACGGAGCAACGCCGCGUGAGUGAUGAAGGUCUUCGGAUCGUAAAACUCUGUUAUUAGGGAAGAACAAAUGUGUAAGUAACUAUGCACGUCUUGACGGUACCUAAUCAGAAAGCCACGGCUAACUACGUG